rnacentral:rRNA from 1 species
CCCUUAGAUGUCCGGGGCCGCACGCGCGCUACACUGAAGGAAUCAGCGUGGCUUUCUCCCUGGUCCGAAAGGACCGGGAAACCCGUUGAAUCUCCUUCGUGAUAGGGAUUGGGGCUUGAAAUUGUUCCCCAUGAACGAGGAAUUCCCAGUAAGCGCGAGUCAUAAGCUCGCGUUGAUUACGUCCCUGCCCUUUGUACACACCGCCCGUCGCUACUACCGAUUGAGUGAUCCGGUGAAUACUUCGGACUGCAACCGGUGCGGUUUCCGUACCCUUUGCAAAAAGUUGAAUAAACCUUAUCACUUAGAGGAAGGAGAAGUCGUAACA